AACGGGCUGGCGGCGGACGAGUUCGUCGCCAACCGGGUCAGGUCCGGAAGGAAGCAGCCCUAACGAUCAGAAAUCGGGUCGUUCGCCAGCCUCUUUACU
rnacentral:SRP_RNA from 1 species